rfam:Amborella trichopoda AMTR_V1.0_contig_31697, whole genome shotgun sequence.
GUUCAAACGAGGAAAGGCUUACCGUGGAUACCUAGGCACCCAGAGACGAGGAAGGGCAUAGCAAGCAACGAAAUGCUAUUGGGAGUUGAAAAUAAGCAUAGAUCAGGAGAUUCCCGAAUGGGUCAACCUUUCGAACUGUUGUUGAAUCCAUGUGCAAGCAAGAGACAACCUGACGAACUGAAACAUCUUAGUAGUCAGAGAAAAAGAAAGCAAAAGUGAUUCCCAUAGUAGCGGCAAGCGAAAUGGGGUUGUGGGAGAGAAAUACAAGCGUCGUGCUGCUAGGUGAAGCGGUUGAGUACUGCACCCUAGAUGGCGAGAGUCCAGUAACUGAAAGCAUCACUGGCUUACGCUCUGACCUGAGUAGCAUGGGGCACAUGGAAUCCCGUGUGAAUCAGCAAGGACCACCUUUUAAGACUAAAUACUCCUGGGUGACAGAUUGCGAAGUAGUAUCGUGAGGGAAAGGUGAAAAGAACCCCCAUCGGGAGUGAAAUAGAACAUGAAAUCGUGAGCUCCCAAGCAGUGGAAGGAGAAUUUGAUCUCUGACCACGUGCCUAUUGAAGAAUGAGCCGGUGACUCAUAGGCAGUGGCUUGGUUAAGGGAACCCACUGGAGCCGUAGUAAAAGUGAGUCUUCAUAGGGCAAUUAUCGCUGCUUAUGGACCUUAACCUCGGUGAUCUAUCCAUGACUAGGAUGAAGCUUGGGUGAAACUAAGUGGAGGUCUGAACCGAUUGGUGUUGAAGAAUCAACAGAUGAGGCAUGGUUAGGGGUGAAAUGCCACUCGAACCUAAAGCUAGCAGGUUCUCCCCGAAAUGCAUUGAGGCGCAGCAGUUGACUAGAUAUCUAGGGGUCAAGCACUGUUUCGGUGCGGGCCGCGAGAGCAGUAACAAAUCGAAGCAACCUCUAAAUACUAGAUAUGACCCCAAAAUAAUAGGGGUAAAGGUCGGCCAAUGAGACAAUGGGGGAUAAGCUUCAUAGUCAAGAGGGAAACAACCCGGAUCACCAGCUAAGGCCCUAAAUGACCGCUCAGUGAUAAAAUAGGUAAGGGUGUAGAGACAGCUAGGAGCUUUUCCUAGAAGCAGCCACCCUUGAAAGAGUGUGUAAUAGCUCACUGAUCGAGCGCUUUUGCACCGAAGAUGAAUGGGGCUAAGCGAUCUGCCGAAGUUGUGGGAGGUAAAAAUGCAUCGGUAGGGGAGCGCUCCGCCUUAGAGUGAAGCAAUUGCACGAGCAGGUGUGGACGAAGCGAAAGCGAGAAUAUCGGCUUGAGUAAUGCAAACAUUGGUGAGAAUCCAAGGCCCCAAAAACCCAAGGGUUCCUCCGCAAGGUUCAUCCACGGAGGGUGAGUCAGGGCCUAAGAUCAGGCCGAAAGGCGUAGUUAAUGGACAGCAGGUGAAUAUUCUUGUACUACCCCUUGUUGGUCCAGAGGGAUAGAGGAGGCUAGGUUAGCCGAAAGGUGGUUUAUCGGUUAAAGGACGCAAAGUGACCUUGCUUCUUUUUUUUCAGGGUAAGAAGGGGUAGAGGAAAUUCCUCGAGCCAAUGUCUGAGUACCAAGCGUUACGGCUCUAAACUAACCCAUGCCAUACUCCCAGGAAAAGCUUGAACGACCUUCAACAAAAGGGUACAUGUACCCGAAACCAACACAGGUGGGUAGGUAGAGAAUACCUAGGGGCACAAGACAACUCUCUCUAAGGAACUCGGAAAAAUAGCCCCGUAACUUCUGAAGAAGGGGUGCCUCCUCACAAAGGCAGUCCCGGGUGACUGUUUACCAAAAAUAUAGGCCCCCGUAAAGUCGUCAGACCAUGUAUGGGGACUGACGCCUGCCCAGUGCCGGAAGGUCAAGAAAGUUGGUGACCUGAUGACAGGGAGCCAGCGACCGAAGCCUCUAUGAACGGCAUCCAUAACUAUAACGAUCUUAAGGAAGUGAAAUUCCUUAUCGGGUAAGUUUGGACCAGUACAAAAGGUGUAAGUUUCGACCAGUACAAAAGGUGUAACAAUUUGGGCACUAUCUCAGAGAGAGGCUCAGGGAAAUAGACAUGUUUGUGAAGAUGCGGACUACCUACACCUCGACAGAAAGACCCUAUGAAGCUUUACUAUUCCCUGGGAUUGGCUUUGGGCCUUUCCUGCGCAGCUUAGGUGGUGGGCGAAGAAGGCCUCCUUCCGGGGGGGCCCGAUCCAUCAAUGAGAUACCACUCUGGAAGAUGAAUUCUAACAUUGUAUCAGGACCUAUGAGCCAAGGGACAGUCUCAAGUAGACAGUUUCUAUGGGGCGUAGUCCUCCCAAAAUAUAACAAAGGCGUGUAAAGGUUUCCUCGGGCCGGACAGAGAUUGGCCCUCGAAUGCAAAGGCAGAAGGGAGCUUUACUGCAAGACCCACCCGUCAAGUAGGGAUGAAAGUAGGCCUUAAUGAUCUGACGGUGCCUAGUAGAAGGGUCGUCGCUCAAUGGAUAAAAGUUACUCUAGGCAUAACAGGCUGAUCUUCCCCAAGAGUUCACAUCGACGACAAGGUUUGACACCUCGAUGUCAGCUCUUCGCCAUCUGGGGCGGUAGUACGUUCUUGUUCGCCCAUUAAAGCAGUACAUGAGCUAAGUUUAGAAUGUCGUGAGACAGUUCGGUCGAUAUCCGAUGUGGGCAUUAGAGCAUUGAGAGAACCUUUCCCUAGUAUGAGAGGAUCGGGAAGGACAUACCUCUGGUGUACCAGUUAUCGUGCUCGCGGUAAAUGCUAGGUAGCCAAGUGCAAAGCGGAUAACUGCUGAAAGCAUAUGAGUAUUAAGCCCACCCCAAGAUGAGUGCUCUCCUAUUCCUACUUCCCCAAAGCCUCUGGUAACAUGGACAAGACAACGACGAGUUCUUUGUCCCUACAGGGAUGGAGCAACAGAAGUAUUGAGAAUCCAAGAUAAGGUCACAACGAGACGAGUUGUUUAUCAUCACGAUGGGUAUCAAGUAGAAGUGCAGUGAUGUAUGCAACUGAGGCAUCCUAAGAGACCAAGAGAUUUGAACCU